rnacentral:rRNA from 1 species
CCUACGGGUGGCAGCAGUAGGGAAUAUUGCUCAAUGGAGGAGACCCUGAAGCAGCAACGCCGCGUGGAGGAUGAAGGUUCUCGGAGUGUAAACUCCUUUUUUUAGAGAAGAUAAUUACUGUAUCUAACGAAUAAGCACCGUCUAACUCCGUGCCAGCAGCCGCGGUAAUACGGAGGGUGCGAGCGUUACUCGGAAUAACUGGGCGUAAAGAGCGCGUAGGCGGGAUAGCAAGUCAGAUGUGAAAUCCUAUGGCUUAACCAUAAAACUGCAUUUGAAACUGUUAUUCUAGAGUAUGGUAGAGGUAGGUGGAAUUCUUGGUGUAGGGGUGAAAUCCGUAGAGAUCAAGAGGAAUACUCAUUGCGAAGGCGACCUGCUAGAACAUAACUGACGCUGAUGCGCGAAAGCGUGGGGAGCAAACAGGAUUAGAUACCCUUGUAGUC